AGUGAACGCUGGCGGCGUGCCUAAUACAUGCAAGUCGAACGGAGUGGCGCACGGGUGAGUAAUAUAUAGCUAAUCUGCCCCUUGCUGGAGGUCAACAGUUAGAAAUGUCUGCUAAUACUCCAUAGCAAGGGAUGAGACUAUAUCGUAUCAGCUAGUCGGUGGGGUAACGGCCUACCUAGGCUAUGACGCGUAACUGGUCUGAGAGGAUGAUCAGUCACAUUGGAACUGAGACACGGCCCAAACUCCUACGGGAGGCAGCAGUAGGGAAUAUUGCGAAAGGGGGAAACCCGUAAGCAGGCACGGCGCGGGAGAUAAGACGGCCUUCGGGUUGUAAAGCUCUGUUAAGCGGGAAGCGUUACCGGAAGAGAAAGCAACGGCUAACUACGUGCCAGCAGCCGCGGUAAUUC
rnacentral:rRNA from 1 species